rnacentral:rRNA from 1 species
CCAGACUCCUACGGGAGGCAGCAGUGGGGAAUCUUCCGCAAUGGGCGAAAGCCUGACGGAGCAACGCCGCGUGAGUGAAGAAGGUCUUCGGAUCGUAAAGCUCUGUUGUCGGGGACGAAAGGGUAGACGAGGUAAUGCGUUUACUAAGACGGUACCCGACGAGGAAGCCACGGCUAACUACGUGCCAGCAGCCGCGGUAAUACGUAGGCGGCAAGCGUUGUCCGGAAUUAUUGGGCGUAAAGGGAGCGCAGGUGGGACGGUAAGUCCGUCUUAAAAGGCAGGGGCUCAGCCCCUGUAAGGGAUGGAAACUAUCGAUCUUGAGUGCCGGAGAGGGAAGCGGAAUUCCCAGUGUAGCGGUGAAAUGCGUAGAUAUUGGGAAGAACACCAGUGGCGAAGGCGGCUUUCUGGACUGUAACUGACGCUGAGGCUCGAAAGCCAGGGGAGCGAACGGGAUUAGAUACCCCGGUAGUCCUGGCCGUAAACGAUGAAUGCUAGGUGUAGGAGGUAUCGACCCCUCCUGUGCCGGAGUUAACGCAAUAAGCAUUCCGCCUGGGGAGUACGGUCGCAAGACUGAAACUCAAAGGAAUUGACGGGGGCCCGCACAAG